rnacentral:lncRNA from 1 species
CUAGAAUUCAUUCUUCAGUUUUAGAGAAUAUGAACUUGUGUUUUGGAUAUCUGGGGUUACAUCUCUUCCCCCUGUAUCACUCUCACAGCACUGGAUAAGAUUUCCACCCUUGUGAAAUGGAGAAUAAAGAAGUGGGACAAGAGCUUCCACAACUACUGUCUGAAGAGGAUGGUAGCAGUUUGCAGAUACAACUUGAGGCAUCUUGUAAACAGCUAUUUUAUGCUUCUUUUUCCCAUAGAUUUCACCCUCUGGGUCUCUCUUGGGAUGGAAAGGAAAAGGCACAUGAGGACUGACUUGGGAAUAGACACUACGGGCACCAGAAUGAAGGCAUCUGUAUCUAGAGAUGAGCCUUCAGAGUGGGUGGGAUUAUCUGAUGUCCUUAUAGAAGAGGAAGCGACACCUGGGAAAUCUCUGCAUGCACAGAAGAAUGGCCAUAUGAGGACAGAGAACGAAAGUGGCUGUCCACAAGACAGGAAGACAGGCCAAGCCACUACUCAUGACAGCAUCUUGGUCUUGGGUGUCUCGUCUCCAGAAGUCUGAGAAAAUAUAUUCCCACUGUUUAAUCUGUACAGCCUGUGCUAUUUUAUUACAACCAAAUAGGUUCUUUCUUACCCUUUCAGUUCUCCCUCAACUUCCUGGGAAAGUGAGAGGAGCUCUGACCACG